GGAAACGUAUCGAAGUGGUCAUAACGAGCCUGACUCGAAAUCAGGUUGCCCCUUAAAGGCACGUGGGUUCAAAUCCCACCGUUUCCGCCA
rnacentral:tRNA from 1 species